rnacentral:rRNA from 1 species
CAGCAGUAGGGAAUCUUCCGCAAUGGACGAAAGUCUGACGGAGCAACGCCGCGUGAGUGAUGAAGGCUUUCGGGUCGUAAAACUCUGUUGUUAGGGAAGAACAAGUACGAGAGUAACUGCUCGUACCUUGACGGUACCUAACCAGAAAGCCACGGCUAACUACGUGCCAGCAGCCGCGGUAAUACGUAGGUGGCAAGCGUUAUCCGGAAUUAUUGGGCGUAAAGCGCGCGCAGGCGGUUUCUUAAGUCUGAUGUGAAAGCCCACGGCUCAACCGUGGAGGGUCAUUGGAAACUGGGGAACUUGAGUGCAGAAGAGAAAAGCGGAAUUCCACGUGUAGCGGUGAAAUGCGUAGAGAUGUGGAGGAACACCAGUGGCGAAGGCGGCUUUUUGGUCUGUAACUGACGCUGAGGCGCGAAAGCGUGGGGA